UACGUAGGGUGCGAGCGUUGUCCGGAAUUACUGGGCGUAAAGAGCUCGUAGGUGGUUUGUCGCGUUGUCCGUGAAAACUCACAGCUCAACUGUGGGCGUGCGGGCGAUACGGGCAGACUGGAGUACUGCAGGGGAGACUGGAAUUCCUGGUGUAGCGGUGGAAUGCGCAGAUAUCAGGAGGAACACCGGUGGCGAAGGCGGGUCUCUGGGCAGUAACUGACGCUGAGAAGCGAAAGCGUGGGGAGCGAACAGG
rnacentral:rRNA from 1 species